UACGUAGGAGGCAAGCGUUAUCCGGAUUUACUGGGCGUAAAGCGGGCGCAGGCGGCUUUUCAAGUCGGAUGUAAAAUCUCCCGGCUAAACUGGGAGGGAUCAUUCGAUACUGUUGAGCUAGAGGGCAGCAGAGGAAGAUGGAAUUCCCGAUGGAGUGGUGAUAUGCGUAGAUAUCGGGAGGAACACCAGUGGCGAAGGCGGUCUUCUGGGCUGCACCUGACGCUGAGGCCCAAAAGCGUGGGGAGCAAACAGGAUUAGAUACCCUGGUA
rnacentral:rRNA from 1 species